UUUGUGGUGGGCGCUUGAGCCUUGGAGCUGACAGUUUUCUCCUAUUAAAACCAAACUGAUCGACUCCUCAGAGAGAGGAGAAAGAACCAUUGCACCGAUCAGGAAUCGAGCUGCGAGAGGGAAAAAAAGGAAAGGCAACUGGAUUUACCUUUUCGAUCGGUGACUAUUGAUGCUUUAGAUGUGCAACUGUCUCAGUCUGCGUUCGCACCAUUUGCACACACACACAAAAAUGGGCACCAGAACCAGAAAUGGAAAUAGUCGAGGCUGCAAACCUUGAAUGUUGUCAACCCAAGAGCGGAAGGCUCCAUAAAAAGCAAGCUUGGUGGACAGAGUCGCAGCCAUCUGCUUUCCUGAAUUUCUCUGGUCGGAAAAACAAGAACAAGAGGAACAAGACAAAGAAAGAGCCUUCUCAGUGGCUGCUCCCAAGCUCUGGAACUCCCUCCCAAGAGAGGCCAGGAGGGCUCCAUCCUCGCUGUCCUUCUGGCGGCAGGACAGCCCUAGAUGUGGUUCCCAUUGAUGUCCAUUAAUCAAUCCAUGUGGAUUAAACAAAUCAUCAGUGCAGCAUGUUUAAGAGAUGGUCCUAUGUUCGAUUUCUACUGCUGAAGCACAACAUGUAUUGCAACACAUGCAAGAAGGAUAAGCUUGGAGUGCCCAGUCACCGUGGUAACUGCCAAAAAAAUUCUCCAGAAGUUUGAAGAGGUCAGCUAACAGGGUCAACAACUCUGGCCUCUUUCCGAGCGGGGCAGGCGGGCCCCAUCCUGCUGCCCGUGUGCUCGCCAAGGCCGAACCCUGGGAGGGGGGGCAUUCUUGCUCUGAUAUAAAUUUUUUGAGUCAGUUCACGGCUUGGAAUCUCCAGGUGGCCUCCAAAAUCGAUGGUGACCCCUUGACCCUGUCUAAGGUCGGCAUUGCAUCCAACCUAAGGAAGGAUUUAGGCAGGAAUGACAGCUUUCCACUGAGUGUUAUUGGGGACAGUACAAACAAUUCGGGAAGCAAGGAGGUAGGUAUGAGGAGAGCAGGUCAUUAAAAGCAUAUUAAAAAACAAUUGCAGGGUUUGGGGUGGGAGAAAGCCAAGGGAGAGUCUGUGUUCCUUGAUAGUUCUUUGAUAGUUAGCAUUUCUUAUUUGAAUUUUGUAAACUUUUGUAGAGGGCCAUUUCCCUCUGAGGAGGGCUGAGGAUUUACACCUUUGGAUAUACAUGAUUUUCAUAUACAAAUAUAUUCUGAUAUUCAGUAUAGAAAGUGAAGUUUUCAUGUGUCCUAAGCCAAAUGAAAAAUAAUCUGCUCUCUUUGCUUCCAAAUGCAAAUAUAAGGUAGGUAAAUCUCAUAGAUGAAUUCCAGUUUUCAAAAUAUAGGUGUCCUUUUUCUUCACAGUAUUGACAUAUUGCCAAAAUGAUUAAAAAUGUAUGUCUUUAUAUAAUGUUUGUUUGUCUGCAUUAAAAUGAAUAUACUGUCUUCCUGCCUUAACUUGUCUUGUGUUUGUAAAAGAAGGUUCUUUAUUGAAAGAUGUAACUUCUGAGUAUGUGCUUUUAAAGAUUUUUUUUUAAAAAAAUACAGAAAGUACAGUCCAGCCAAUGUUAAGCACGUUUAAAUCCCACUGUUUUUCCUGGGACAGACAAAUUCAUAACUUUGUUUGGACUGUGCCCAAAUCAAACAGGUGCUUUUAAACAUUAAGACAAGGAAAUUACUUGGUAUGCAAAAAUAGACUGGAAUGAAGGUGUACUGGUUUCACAGGGCUGCAUUGCAAAAUGAAUAGUUAAGUACACAUUUGAUUCCAUGGGACUGAGCAAGAUUUUAGUACGGGGAAAAUUUUAAUCUACAUGAGAUAACUAGUUAUUCAUAGGCUGGUUUCUUGCAUGCACUUUAACUAAGUGAGGUAACAUAGAAGUACUAAUAUAUGUUAAAACUCUCUAUUUUCUAGCAAGUGGAUUCAUUUUGCAAUUUCAUUACUAGCAAUAGGUUCAAGUUCUUCAACCAACAUUAAUAGAAUCUUCAUGCACAGUGGGUUUUUUUUACCAUGAACAACAGAAGAUGACAUCCCAGACAGCAGGUUUGAGAGACCAAUAAGAACAUCAUUAUUCAGAACUUCUCUUGAAAGAACAUGGGCAAGAACAUUAUUGUGUAUCACAGCAGAUUUAAUCACAAUGAUUGUCUGAUUUGCUGGCCCUUUAGAUAUUUUAGACUUCAUGUCCCAGAAUCCCCAACUAUACAGCUUUUAGGGCGCAUUGUUCCACAUUAUUCCAAAAUUCCACAUUAAUGUAACAAACAAAAAUGUAAAAUCCUUAAAAAUAUCUUAAAAAUACAAAACCAUUAAAAAAAAAACCAAAGCAAGGAUGCCACCAAGAAGUCUCUAUGGGCACAGUUAUAUAUUAAAAGCCUGCUUGAAAUGAAAAAUUAUUGCCUGCUGGUGAAAGGAGAACAGGGAUGUGG